rnacentral:tRNA from 1 species
GUCCGAGUACGCUAACUGGCAGUGCGAAUAGAUUUAGGAUCUAUUGGUUGUGAUUUCGAAUCUCACCUCGGAUA